rnacentral:rRNA from 1 species
AGUGAACGCUGGCGGUAGGCCUAACACAUGCAAGUCGAACGGCAGCACAGUAAGAGCUUGCUCUUACGGGUGGCGAGUGGCGGACGGGUGAGGAAUACAUCGGAAUCUACUUUUUCGUGGGGGAUAACGUAGGGAAACUUACGCUAAUACCGCAUACGACCUACGGGUGAAAGCAGGGGAUCUUCGGACCUUGCGCGAUUGAAUGAGCCGAUGUCGGAUUAGCUAGUUGGCGGGGUAAAGGCCCACCAAGGCGACGAUCCGUAGCUGGUCUGAGAGGAUGAUCAGCCACACUGGAACUGAAGCACGGUCCAGACUCCUACGGGAGGCAGCAGUGGGGAAUAUUGGACAAUGGGCGCAAGCCUGAUCCAGCCAUACCGCGUGGGUGAAGAAGGCCUUCGGGUGGUAAAGCCCUUUUGUUGGGAAAGAAAAGCAGCAGGUUAAUACCCCGCUGUUCUGACGGUACCCAAAGAAUAAGCACCGGCUAACUUCGUG